UACGGAGGGUGCAAGCGUUAUCCGGAUUCACUGGGUUUAAAGGGAGCGCAGGCGGAUUUGUAAGUCAGUGGUGAAAGGCUUAAGCUUAACUUGGGAACUGCCAUUGAUACUAUAAGUCUUGAAUGUUGUUGAGGUUUGGCUGGAAGUGGGUCAUGUAGCGGUGAAAUGCAUAGAUAUGACCCGGAACACCUAUUGCGAAGGCAGCAGGCUAAACAAAUAUUGACGCUGAGGCUCGAAAGCGUGGGGAUCAAACAGG
rnacentral:rRNA from 1 species